UACGAAGGGGGCUAGCGUUGUUCGGAAUUACUGGGCGUAAAGCGUGCGCAGGCGGCUUCUCAAGUCAGGGGUGAAAGCCCAGAGCUCAACUCUGGAAUUGCCUUUGAGACUGAGUGGCUUGAGUACGAGAGAGGUGAGUGGAAUUCCCAGUGUAGAGGUGAAAUUCGUAGAUAUUCGCAAGAACACCAGUGGCGAAGGCGGCUGUCUGGUCCGGUUCUGACGCUGAGGAGCGAAAGCGUGGGGAGCGAACAGG
rnacentral:rRNA from 1 species